AUUAGAUACCCGGGUAGUCCUGGCCGUAAACGAUGCGGGCUAGUUGUCACAAUGGCUGCGCGCCACUGUGGUGCCGUAGAGAAAUCGCGAAGCCUGCCGCUUGGGAAGUACGGCCGCAAGGCUGAAACUUGAAGGAAUUGGCGGGGGAGCAUACAACGGGUGGAGCCUGCGGUUUAAUUGGAUUCAACGCCGGGAAUCUUACCGGGUGCGACAGCUGGAUGAAGGCCAGGCUAAAGACCUUGCUGGACUAGCUGAGAGGAGGUGCAUGGCCGUCGUCAGUUCGUACUGUGAAGCGUCCUGUUAAGUCAGGCAACGAACGAGAUCCACGCCCACUGUUGCCAGCGCGCCCUCCGGGGUGGCGGGUACACGGUGGGGACCGCUGGUGCUAAACCAGAGGAAGGAAUGGGUAACGGUAGGUCAGUACGCCCCGAAUCUCCCGGGUACACGCGUGUACAAUGGUUGGGACAAUGGGUAUCGACCCCGAAAGGGGAAGGAAAUCUCUAAACCCAACCUUAGUUCGGAUUGGGGGCUGCAACUCGCCCCCAUGAAGAUGGAAUCCGUAGUAAUCGCGACUCAAAAUGUCGC
rnacentral:rRNA from 1 species